UGGCGAACGGGUGAGUAACACGUGGGUGAUCUGCCCUGCACUUCGGGAUAAGCCUGGGAAACUGGGUCUAAUACCGGAUAGGACGAUGGUUUGGAUGCCAUUGUGGAAAGUUUUUCGGUGUGGGAUGAGCUCGCGGCCUAUCAGCUUGUUGGUGGGGUAAUGGCCUACCAAGGCGUCGACGGGUAGCUGGCCUGAGAGGGUGUACGGCCACAUUGGGACUGAGAUACGGCCCAG
rnacentral:rRNA from 1 species